AAUACUCAAUUUGAAAUCGACAUACAAGAGUAAUUUGUGACCUCCUUGUAUUAAAAGUAGAUGGUCUCUUUAUAUACUUUUCCAUUUAUUAUACCCGGGUUUAUUAUUGGUCUUAUGUGUUUGAAAUUGUGAUCAUUUUUUUAGAAUUUGAUGAAAAUAUGAUAAAAUAAAGAAGAACUCAUAAAACCUUCAGUAACUGGAUUCAAUAUUUAAAAGGAAGCUUGCUAGCCUAGCUUCAACUAUGAAUUCCCUUGAAUUCUCGAGAACUACGUUGUUAAACAAUAAACAACUCUAAAAAAACACGAAUAAAAUCCCUAUUUAAAGACUUUAUUUCUAAUGUAGUUUGAAUUCAUAAUUAGAACUGAACCUGAAUUUUGUAACUUAUGCCCCUUGAAGAAAUCUAAAAGAUAAAAUUGUCUUAGAAAAGACCUUGAAAAGAUACCCUGACUUUCCAUGCACAUAAAUUUUCACUUCGAUGUUGAACCCUAUAUUAUAACCCCAUUUCAUUAACAGCAGCAUAAAUCCUAUGACACCAAAACCUUUUUCUCGGUUUUGACCAAUGAACUAGGCUGAAAAAGUUGUUUUAUA
rnacentral:lncRNA from 1 species